UGUGACCUCAAAUCAGGUAGGACUACCCGCUGAACUUAAGCAUAUCAAUAAGCGGAGGAAAAGAAACUAACGAGGAUUCCCCUAGUAACUGCGAGUGAAGCGGGAAAAGCUCAAAUUUAAAAUCUGGCAGUCUUUGGCUGUCCGAGUUGUAAUCUAGAGAAGCAUUAUCCGCGCUGGACCGUGUACAAGUCUCCUGGAAUGGAGCGUCAUAGAGGGUGAGAAUCCCGUCUUUGACACGGACUACCAGGGCUUUGUGAUGUGCUCUCAAAGAGUCGAGUUGUUUGGGAAUGCAGCUCAAAAUGGGUGGUAAAUUCCAUCUAAAGCUAAAUAUUGGCGAGAGACCGAUAGCGAACAAGUACCGUGAGGGAAAGAUGAAAAGAACUUUGGAAAGAGAGUUAAACAGUACGUGAAAUUGCUGCAAGGGAAACGCUUGAAGUCAGUCGCGUUGUCCAGGGAUCAACUCUUGCUUUUGCUUGGUGUACUUUCUGGUUAACGGGUCAGCAUCAAUCUUAACCAUUGGAAAAAGAUUAGGGGAAUGUGGCAUCUUUAGAUGUGUUAUAGCCCUUGGUUGCAUACAUUGGUUGGGAUUGAGGAACUCAGCAUGCCGCAAGGCCGAGUUUUUAACUACGUACGUGCUUAGGAUGCUGGCAUAAUGGCUUUAAUCGACCCGUCUUGAAACACGGACCAAGGAGUCUAACAUGCCUGCGAGUGUUUGGGUGGAAAACCCGAGCGCGCAAUGAAAGUGAAAGUUGAGAUCCCUGUCGUGGGGAGCAUCGACGCCUGGACUUGAACUUUUGUGACGGUUCCACGGUAGAGCAUGUAUGUUGGGACCCGAAAGAUGGUGAACUAUGCCUGAAUAGGGUGAAGCCAGAGGAAACUCUGGUGGAGGCUCGUAGCGAUUCUGACGUGCAAAUCGAUCGUCAAAUUUGGGUAUAGGGGCGAAAGACUAAUCGAACC
rnacentral:rRNA from 1 species